UCCUAGCCCCGAUUGCCGCGGCAUCCUUUUUUGUUGCGAUGGCAGCUAAAGCUCGGCAACAAAAAAGAUACAGCAGAAAGCGGGAUAAGGC
rnacentral:sRNA from 1 species